rnacentral:rRNA from 1 species
AGAAUCAACGCUGGCGGCGUGCCUCAGACAUGCAAGUCGAACGCGAAAGUCCCCUUCGGGGGUGAGUAGAGUGGCGCACGGGUGAGUAACACGUAGGUAAUCUACCUUUGGAUGGGGAAUAACAACCGGAAACGGUUGCUAAUACCGCAUAAUGCAGCGGCACCUAAUGGUGACAGUUGUUAAAGCGGGGGAUCGAAAGACCUCGCGUCUAAAGAGGAGCCUGCGGCGGAUUAGCUAGUUGGUAGGGUAACGGCCUACCAAGGCUACGAUCCGUAGCC